UCAGGACGAACGCUGGCGGCGUGCCUAACACAUGCAAGUCGAGCGGAGUUAACAAGAGGAAGUUUCGGAUGGAAUUUGUAAUUAGCGGCGGACGGGUGAGUAACGCGUGAGCGACCAACCUUGCACAGGGGAUAACGGACCGAAAGGUUCACUAAUACCGCAUGAGACCACGGUGUUGCAUGACACAGAGGUUAAAGGAGCAAUCCGGUGCAAGACGGGCUCGCGUCCGAUUAGGUAGUUGGUGGGGUAAUGGCCCACCAAGCCUAUGAUCGGUAGCCGACCUGAGAGGGUGAUCGGCCACAUUGGAACUGAGAUACGGUCCAAACUCCUACGGGAGGCAGCAGUGGGGAAUAUUGGGGCCAAUGGGGGAAACCCUGACCCAGCAACGCCGCGUGAAGGAAGAAGGUUUUCGGAUUGUAAACUUCUGUCCUUGGUGAAGAGAAGAAGACGGUAGCCAAGGAGGAAGCCCCGGCUAACUACGUGCCAGCCGCCGC
rnacentral:rRNA from 1 species